UAGUCCACGCCGUAAACGAUGAAUACUAGGUGUCGGCUUUCGCGAGUCGGUGCCGCAGCUAACGCAUUAAGUAUUCCACCUGGGGAGUACGAUCGCAAGAUUGAAACUCAAAGGAAUUGACGGGGGCCCGCACAAGCGGUGGAGCAUGUGGUUUAAUUCGAAGCAACGCGAAGAACCUUACCAGGUCUUGACAUCCUUUUGACCGGAACUUAAUCGUUCCUUUCCUUCGGGACAAAAGUGACAGGUGGUGCAUGGUUGUCGUCAGCUCGUGUCGUGAGAUGUUGGGUUAAGUCCCGCAACGAGCGCAACCCUUAUCUUUAGUAGCCAGCAAGUAAUGUUGGGGACUCUAGAGAGACUGCCGGUGAUAAACCGGAGGAAGGUGGGGAUGACGUCAAAUCAUCAUGCCCCUUAUGAUCUGGGGCUACACACGUGCUACAAUGGUAGAUACAAAGGGGAAGCGAAGCCGUGAGGUGAAGCAAACCCCAAAAAGUCUAUCCCAGUUCGGGAUUGUAGUCUGCAACUCGAC
rnacentral:rRNA from 1 species